rnacentral:rRNA from 1 species
UACGUAGGGUGCAAGCGUUGUCCGGAAUUAUUGGGCGUAAAGAGCUCGUAGGCGGUUUGUCGCGUCUGCGGUGAAAACUCGGGGCUCAACCCCGAGCUUGCAGUGGGUACGGGCAGACUAGAGUGCGGUAGGGGAGACUGGAAUUCCUGGUGUAGCGGUGGAAUGCGCAGAUAUCAGGAGGAACACCGGUGGCGAAGGCGGGUCUCUGGGCCGAUACUGACGCUGAGGAGCGAAAGCGUGGGGAGCGAACAGG